GGAAGAGACACGUUCCCCGGUGGGGCGCCCGGACUUCAAAUUCGGGUGAGGCUGCCAGGCAGUCUCAGGUGGGUUCGACUCCCAUUCUCUUCCGCCA
rnacentral:tRNA from 1 species